UCGCACGUCUCGUCCGUCAACACGGAGAUGAAUCACAGAUUGGAGGAAUUUACUGGACUCGAGCGGAUGUUUGGGAUCGCUGGGAGGCCUUGUCUUCCUCUUAGUUUUCAUGCAUUUUGGUGAUAGACGUACCUGUAAAGGAAUCGGAAGCAGAAAGAGAGCGGAUGAGUGGAAAGUAUCGGAAAAACACCACAGAAGUCAGUGGUGGUGUGGACACGCCAGGAGCAGAUUUGGGAUAUUUGGAGAAAUGAUGGGGGAGAUUUGAUCAUUUGAGGACCUCAAACACCAGCCGUCCGAGCUCUCCCAUGAAGUAGCUGCUCCACCCACGGAUGGUGCCUGACCGAAAGACAAAUAAUGCGUGCGGGAAAGGAAGUCCGACACAUCACCAGUGAGACAAAAGCCUUUUUAGUCUCUGUGGCUCUGAGGAAAACGUCUUUGCACUGCAGAUAGGAUGCUUGGUUUUCGCCACUUGUGCAGCUUGUUCAUUUCUUCUAUCUCCAUCCACAGAAGGCGGAGGUUAAUUGGAGUGAGAUUGUCUGUCUAUAUAUGAAACUCUUCUCUCUGCGGGAGGGAAACUGGAUCAGGACUGGAACUCUAAACUGUCGCUGACAUUUUGCUGAGAGCCAAAUGUGGCGAAGGAAGCCUUGGUGCUUAGCGUCGCAUGCACAUAAAUUGCUUGUCCUGUUUAUGCAGCUGCUUUAUUCAGAGGAAAUUCCAAAUAAAACGGCCUUUUCAGGAUGCGAGUUAGAUGAACAUCUAAAUACUGUGUGUGCACCUGGUGGAGCUCAAUCGCACUGACCCUUUGAGUCAAACUUAAGCUUGAAGAGAAGGACAGGUAAUUGACUGGAUUUGCAAUCAUGUACACUUAAAACUCCAUCAAAUAAUAUAAAAAUGUACCAAAUUCGUCAAAACAAUGUAGUGAAGUUGGCUGAGAGGUUUGUCGUUAGUUAAAAUAAUCUGGAUACCUUUUUAGAACAAUAUGGAGAAUAAUACAAUGCACCGUAUUACCACUCAAAUAUCGUCGUUUGGAUCUUGUCUUUGUAUUGCCGAAGGACACAACAACAGGAUGACUGUCUCUCCGGCUCGCGGGUUUGAGCACCGUCCCAGAGUUCAGAAGACCCGACCUUGAAAGCUGCCACGCCUGCAGCGUAAGAAGUGAUUCUGGCGGCCUUAGGAUGGGUGAGCUUCACGGGGCCUCAUACGCCGUUGAUUCACCACAGCAAGUCUGAAAGGGGGGGAAGAACAACAAUGAUAUCAAACGCCCCCCCCCCCCGCCCCACACAGGCUGUGGAGCGGACAUCUGUCCUCCGUAAACUCACCAG
ensembl:lncRNA